UACGUAGGGGGCGAGCGUUGUCCGGAUUUAUUGGGCGUAAAGAGCUCGUAGGCGGCUUGGCAAGUCGGGUGUGAAACCUCCAGGCUCAACCUGGAGACGCCACUCGAUACUGCUAUGGCUAGAGUCCGGUAGGGGACCACGGAAUUCCUGGUGUAGCGGUGAAAUGCGCAGAUAUCAGGAGGAACACCAAUGGCGAAGGCAGCUCGCUGGGACGGUACUGACGCUGAGGCGCGAAAGCGUGGGGAGCGAACAGG
rnacentral:rRNA from 1 species